GGAAAGGAAGUGGUUUUACAAGGAAUUGGGGAUUUAGUAUCUCUGUGCAAGUUGUUGCAGUGUUUUGACAGUACUCAGUUGUUGCAGAAGCAGGGCAGGGAUUUUCAAACUCCUUUAUUUUACAUUCAAGAUUCUCAUCCUCAAUACUCUAUAGUGCUAGCAGCCAUGUCUGCAUUCUCAACAUCUUCUGGGGAUUAUUCAGCUGAUUUGCAGUCUUUUUCUAUUGACUAGGUAUCAGUGUAUUUUUGAAGAUCC
rnacentral:misc_RNA from 1 species